CCUACGGGUGGCAGCAGUGGGGAAUAUUGCACAAUGGGGGAAACCCUGAUGCAGCGACGCCGCGUGAGUGAAGAAGUAAUUCGUUAUGUAAAGCUCUAUCAGCAGGGAAGAAAAUUACGGUACCUGAGUAAGAAGCCCCGGCUAACUACGUGCCAGCAGCCGCGGGAAUACGUAGGGGGCAAGCGUUAUCCGGAUUUACUGGGCGUAAAGGGAGCGUAGACGGCAGUGCAAGUCUGGAGUGAAAGGGGGGGGCUCAACCCCAGGACUGCUAUGGAAACUGUACGGCUGGAGUGCAGGAGAGGUAAGUGGAAUUCGUAGUGUAGCGGUGAAAUGCGUAGAUAUUAGGAGGAACACCAGUGGCGAAGGCGGCUUACUGGACUGUAACUGACAUUGAGGCUCGAAAGCGUGGGGAGCAAACAGGAUUAGAUACCCUGGUAGUC
rnacentral:rRNA from 1 species